GACGAACGCUGGCGGCGUGCCUAACACAUGCAAGUCGAACGAAGCUUGACGAAUGAUUACUUCGGUAUGAAUUCUGAUAUGACUGAGUGGCGGACGGGUGAGUAACGCGUGAGCAACCUGCCCUUCAGAGGGGGAUAGCGUCUGGAAACGGACGGUAAUGCCGCAUAACGUACAAUGAUGGCAUCAUUGAUGUACCAAAGCUAUUGCGCUGAAGGAUGGGCUCGCGUCUGAUUAGAUAGUUGGUGGGGUAACGGCCUACCAAGUCGACGAUCAGUAGCCGGACUGAGAGGUUGAACGGCCACAUUGGGACUGAGACACGGCCCAG
rnacentral:rRNA from 1 species